UUUGGUAUUUGCCUUACGUAUCAUCAUACCGUUACCGACCGCAUGUAAUAAGUGCGUUUUUCCCAAGCCCGUGCCGCCAUA
rnacentral:antisense_RNA from 1 species